GGGGGUAUACCUCAGUGGUAGAGCAUUUGAAUGCAGAUCAAGAGGUCCCCAGUUCAAAUCUGGGUGCCCCCU
rnacentral:tRNA from 1 species